rnacentral:misc_RNA from 1 species
GAUGAAGAACGUAGCGAAAUGCGAUAAGUAAUGUGAAUUACAGAAUUCAGUGAAUCAUCGAAUCUUUGAACGCACAUUGCGCCCGCCAGUAUUCUGGCGGGCAUGCCUGUUCGAGCGUCAUUUCAACCAUCAAGCCCCCGGCUUGUGUUGGGGACCUGCGGCUGCCGCAGGCCCUGAAAACCAGUGGCGGGCUCGCUAGUCACUCCGAGCGUAGUAAUACAUCUCGCUCAGGGCGUGCUGCGGGUUCCGGCCGUUAAAAAGCCUUAUUUACCCAAGGUUGACCUCGGAUCAGGUAGGAAGACCCGCUGAACUUAAGCAUAUCAAUAAGCGGAGGA